ACGUAGGGUGCGAGCGUUAUCCGGAAUUAUUGGGCGUAAAGAGCUCGUAGGCGGUUUGUCGCGUCUGUCGUGAAAGUCCGGGGCUUAACCCCGGAUCUGCGGUGGGUACGGGCAGACUAGAGUGCAGUAGGGGAGACUGGAAUUCCUGGUGUAGCGGUGGAAUGCGCAGAUAUCAGGAGGAACACCGAUGGCGAAGGCAGGUCUCUGGGCUGUAACUGACGCUGAGGAGCGAAAGCAUGGGGAGCGAACAGG
rnacentral:rRNA from 1 species